ACGGGAGGCAGCAGCUAAGAAUAUUCCGCAAUGGACGAAAGUCUGACGGAGCGACGCCGCGUGGAUGAUGAAGGCCGGAAGGUUGUAAAAUCCUUUUAUGACUGAGGAAUAAGUAAGGUGAGAGAAACGCCUUAUGGUGACUGUAGGUCAUGAAUAAGCAACGGCUAAUUACGUGCCAGCAGCCGCGGUAACACGUAAGUUGCGAGCGUUGUUCGGAAUUAUUGGGCGUAAAGGGCAUGUAGGCGGUUUUGCAAGCUUGGUGUGAAAGGCAGGAGCUUAACUCCUGGACUGCGUUGAGAACUGCAAGACUAGAGUUACUGAAGAGCAAUCCGAAUUCCAGGUGUAGGGGUGAAAUCUGUAGAUAUCUGGAAGAAUACCAAUGGCGAAGGCAGGUUGCUGGCAGAUGACUGACGCUGAGGUGCGAAGGUGCGGGGAGCAAACAGGAUUAGAUACCCUGGUA
rnacentral:rRNA from 1 species